GCGAAAGUGACUGUACCUGCAGAAGAAGCACCGGCUAACUACGUGCCAGCAGCCGUCGGUAAUACGUAGGGUGCAAGCGUUGUCCGGAUUUAUUGGGCGUAAAGAGCUCGUAGGCGGUUUGUCGCGUCGGAUGUGAAAACCCAAUGGCUUAACCUUGGGCCUGCAUUCGAUACGGGCAAACUAGAGUGUGGUAGGGGAGACUGGAAACUCCUGGUGUAGCGGUGGAAUGCGUCAGAUAUCAGGAAGAACACCGAUGGCGAAGGCAGGUCUCUGGGCCAUAACUGACGCUGAGGAGCGAAAGCGUGGGGAGCGAACAGGAUUAGAUACCCCUGGUAGUCCACGCCGUAAACGGUGGGCGCUAGGUGUGGGGAUUGUUUCCACGAUCUCCGUGCCGUAGCUAACGCAUUAAGCGCCCCGCCCUGGGGAGUACGGCCGCAAGGCUAAAAACUCAAAGGAAUUGACGGGGGCCCGCACAAGCGGCGGAGCAUGCGGCUUAAUUCGAUGCAACGCGAAG
rnacentral:rRNA from 1 species